rnacentral:rRNA from 1 species
AAAGUUGCUGCGGUUAAAAAGCUCGUAGUUGGAUCUCAGUUACAGGCGGGAAGUGCGUGGACACCCCGUUACGGCCCGUGCUGAACAUCAUGCCUGUCGUGGCUUGGUUCCCUUCAUCAGGUGCCUUGCUUUGGCCGGCGCGUUUACUUUGAAAAAAUUAGAGUGCUCAACGCAGGCGAUUCGCCUGAAUAACAGUGCAUGGAAUAAUAGAACAAGAUCCUGUUUCUGUUCUGUUGGUUUUUGGAAUACAGGAUAAUGAUUAAGAGGGACAGACGGGGGCAUUCGUAUUGCGGCGCUAGAGGUGAAAUUCUUGGACCGUCGCAAGACGAACUACUGCGAAAGCAUUUGCCAAGAAUGUUUUCAUUGAUCAAGAACGAAAGUUAGAGGUUCCAAGGCGAUCAGAUACCGCCCUAGUUCUAACCAUAAACGAUGCCAACCAGCGAUCCGCCUGAGUUACUCAAAUGACUCGGCGGGCAGCUUCCGGGAAACCAAAGUAUUUGGGUUCCG